GCAACCACACCAUUUGGAUACACGUAAAAGACAUUUAAUAAUUAUACUAGCUUUAUGAUUUCCUAAAGAAAACAUUAAAAUUGAUACGAAAAAUUCAUGUGCUACAUCAAAAGAAGAAAAACAAAUAUGCCAAAAAUUCUCAAAUAUGUUUAUGCUAUGAACGUCUUUAUUUCCCUAUAUUUUGUUUUAAGUGAUGCAAACUCAGAUAAUCUAACCGUGAUCCCCCCUAUCAAGUCCAAAGCCAAUCACUACUGAACCAACGAUUGAUUUAAAAUUUUAUUCUUACAUUCUACAUAAUUUUUGUCCCCUUUCAUUAACACUCCUAUCUUCUUAUAUCACAGGAUCAUCUGUGCCUUGUAUUGGCGACAAAAAUUGUCCUGAUUCUUUAUGUUUCCCUUUAAUGAUAGCGAUUUGUUCGAACCAUAUGUGUUUUUGUAUUUAGCAACAUUAGAUAAGUUGAAAAUAGUAUGUUACUUCUAAACCUAUGAUUUUAAUUACAAAUCAUAUUGUUACUUUCAUAUUUUGAUUUAUAAUCUUUCAAUCUUUCA